rnacentral:rRNA from 1 species
UACACAUGCAAGUCGAGCGGCAGCGGGAAAGUAGCUUGCUACUUUUGCCGGCGAGCGGCGGACGGGUGAGUAAUGCCUGGGAAAUUGCCCAGUCGAGGGGGAUAACAGUUGGAAACGACUGCUAAUACCGCAUACGCCCUACGGGAGAAAGCAGGGGACCUUCGGGCCUUGCGCUAUCAGAUGAGCCUAGGUCGGAUUAGCUAGUUGGUGAGGUAAUGGCUCACCAAGGCGACGAUCCGUAACUGGUCUGAGAGGAUGAUCAGUCACACUGGAACUGAGACACGGUCCAGACUCCUACGGGAGGCAGCAGUGGGGAAUAUUGGACAAUGGGCGAAAGCCUGAUCCAGCCAUGCCGCGUGUGUGAAGAAGGUCUUCGGAUUGUAAAGCACUUUAAGUUGGGAGGAAGGGCAGUAAGCUAAUACCUUUCUGUUUUGACGUUACCGACAGAAUAAGCACCGGCUAACUCUGUGCCAGCAGCCGCGGUAAUACAGAGGGUGCAAGCGUUAAUCGGAAUUACUGGGCGUAAAGCGCGCGUAGGUGGUUCGUUAAGUUGGAUGUGAAAGCCCCGGGCUCAACCUGGGAACUGCAUCCAAAACUGGCGAGCUAGAGUACGGUAGAGGGUGGUGGAAUUUCCUGUGUAGCGGUGAAAUGCGUAGAUAUAGGAAGGAACACCAGUGGCGAAGGCGACCACCUGGACUGAUACUGACACUGAGGUGCGAAAGCGUGGGGAGCAAACAGGAUUAGAUACCCUGGUAGUCCACGCCGUAAACGAUGUCAACUAGCCGUUGGAAUCCUUGAGAUUUUAGUGGCGCAGCUAACGCAUUAAGUUGACCGCCUGGGGAGUACGGCCGCAAGGUUAAAACUCAAAUGAAUUGACGG